UCCCACCCUAGCCCCUGGGGGAGCUGGCAGUCUGGGGUUAGUUGUCUCGAGGCAUUGCAAUGCCUUGGCUGUGUCCCUGCUCUGUCAAGGGCAGAGGAAACUGUCCCUGUACGUUCAGACAAGCCACACAGAUCACCGCAGCAGUUUCUGGAUCCGGGGCUAUCCCCCCAGGUGCUGAACCGGAGCUUUCUUUCAGCACAUUCCCACCUUCUCUCCAUGGCCAAGUCUGUGUCCUUCCACCAGGUUCCAUCCUGGAUACCAAAUAACAUCUAGUUGUUAUGUCGUCCCUGGUUCCUCUUGGCUGUGACAUUUUUACAAAUUAAUCUUGUUUUAGCUGACUUGACAGCAUUGUGAAUACUGCAGGAUGUCCUACUCUCGGAACUCACCUGGUAUCUCUCCCUGUAAGGCUGGGUGAUGGCUUAUCAGAGGGAAGACUGCACACCCAACCACCAUUUUCAUCACAUCGUCAAAGGAGUCUACGGCACCUCAGCAACGCCUCUGCCGCCAACCCUCCACUCAGGCGUGCAGACCACACUCCUGUGCUUCCUCCUGGGCACAUGACGGAGCAGCAGCCCUGAAUCUAAAGGGACUUUCAGAGUCAUCACCCCACGCUCACCCCCAUCUCCAUCCAUCUCAUGGUAGACCCUGAGCCUUCAGUCAAGCAGUGUAGAAACACUGGUCGGUCGCUCUUGGAGAACGGAUUAGCUCUGUGGGACCUGGAGCUGAAGUCUCAGCACAUCCAUUUCAUGUAGAACCUCCCGCUCCGCCUCUGACAGCCGCCUCUCCGCUCUGGAAGAUGUGCUGUGUGGACAACGGCAGGAGAAGGCAGUUUGGACUGAGUUGCUUUUCUCCAACGUAUCAAAUGCAUGUUUCAAAAAUAUUGGCAUUAUUUGCCUUUGUACUCUGUGGGGAUUCCCCGCCUUUUGCUUGUUCAUCUCAAAAUGUUGCGUAAGCACCAGCUCCUUGGCCACGUGCUGUGCUACUGGAGGUGCUGGUGGCGACCAGACAGACAAACAGACGUUCUGCCUCUAAGACGACCUUCACUGACUGCAUCACACUGCCCUGUGGGCCUCGCAUCUCUCAAAAUAUUCCCAAAGCAAAAAAAAAAAAAAAAAAUAGUGAUUUUUCACACCAAUUCCUUGCCUUCGCUUACUUUGUACUUUUGCAUCAAAGGGAAUAAAGUGGCUGUCACCAACCAGGGUUCUGAGAUGAUGUGCAUCUUCCUGACUUAAUUAGUGGCAGGGGGAAU